ACCUGGUUGAUCCUGCCAGUANUCANNUGCUUGUCUUAAAGACUAAGCCAUGCAUGUCUAAGUAUAAAUAGUAUACAGUGAAACUGCGAAUGGCUCAUUAAAACAGUUAUAGUUUAUUUGAUAAUAUUUCUAUAUGGAUAACUGUAGUAACAUAGAGCUAAUACAUGCUGUAAGGCCUGACCCUCGGAAAGGCUGCAUUUAUUAGAUCCAAUACCAAUAUUCCGCAAGGUUUAUUGUGAUGAUUCAUAAUAACUGAUCAGAUCAAAGCUAGUCUUCGACAUAUCAUUCAAGUUUCUGCCCUAUCAGCUCUCGAUGGUAGUGUAUUGGACUACCAUGGCUAUCACGGGUAACGGGGAAUUAGGGUUCGAUUCCGGAGGGGGAGCCUGAGAAAUGGCUACCACUUCUAAGGAAGGCAGCAGGCGCGUAAAUUACCCAAUCCUGAUUCAGGGAGGUAGUGACAAGAAAUAACAACCUGGAGCUUCACCGCUUCCGGGAUUGCAAUGAAAACAAUCUAAAAAACUUAUUGAGGAACAAUUGGAGGGCAAGUCUGGUGCCAGCAGCCGCGGUAAUUCCAGCUCCAAUAGCGUAUAUUAAAGUUGUUGCAGUU
rnacentral:rRNA from 1 species